AACGUCUUUGUUGUUGGAGCUGC
rnacentral:siRNA from 1 species